AUUGAACGCUGGCGGCAGGCCUAACACAUGCAAGUCGAGCGGAGUGGCGGACGGGUGCGUAAUGCCUAGGAAUCUGCCUGGUAGCGGGGGCUAACGUCCGGAAACGGGCGCUAAUACCGCAUCCUAUCAGAUGAGCCUAGGUCGGAGUAGCGAGUUGGUGGGGUAAAGGCCUACCAAGGCGAAGAUCCGUAACUGGUCUGAGAGGAUGAUGAGUCACACUGGAACUGAGACAGGGUCCAGACUCCUACGGGAGGCAGAAGUGGGGAAUAUUGGACAAUGGGGGAAAGCCUGAUCCAGCCAUGCCGCGUGUUUGAAGAAGGUCUUCGGUUUGUAAGGCACUUUAAGUUGGGAGGCGUUACCAGCAGAGUAAGCACCGGCUAACUUCGUGCCAGCAGCCGCGGUAAGAC
rnacentral:rRNA from 1 species